CCAAUAGCGUAUAUUAAAGUUGUUGCAGUUAAAAAGCUCGUAGUUGAAUUUCGGGAUUAAUUUAUUGGUCGUGCAAUAGUACGUACUGGUAUUAUUGAUUCCUACCUUCUGACGAACCAUGAUGUCAUUAAUUUGGUGUCAUGGGGAAUCAGGACUGUUACUUUGAAAAAAUUAGAGUGUUUAAAGCAGGCUCACGCUUGAAUACAUUAGCAUGGAAUAACGAAAUAGGACGUUUGAUUCUAUUUUGUUGGUUUCUAGGAUCGACGUAAUGAUUAAUAGGGAUAGUUGGGGGCAUUAGUAUUCAAUUGUCAGAGGUGAAAUUCUUGGAUUUAUUGAAGACUAACUACUGCGAAAGCAUUUGCCAAGGAUGUUUUCAUUAAUCAAGAACGAAAGUUAGGGGAUCGAAGACGAUCAGAUACCGUCGUAGUCUUAACCAUAAACUAUGCCGACUAGGGAUCGGAUGAUGUUAAUUUUUUAAUGACUCAUUCGGCGCCUUACA
rnacentral:rRNA from 1 species